rnacentral:rRNA from 1 species
AGUGAACGCUGGAGGCGUGCUUAACACAUGCAAGUCGAACGAGAACGGAAUAUAGCUUGCUAUAUUUGUCAGCUAAGUGGCGCACGGGUGGGUAAUGUAUAGAUAACCUGCCCUUAAGAAAGGAAUAACAGUUGGAAACGACUGCUAAUGCCCUAUAUGCCUUUAAUACACAAGUAUGCAAGGGAAACGCUUUAGUGCUUAAGGAUUGGUCUGUAUGGUAUCAGCUUGUUGGUGAGGUAAUGGCUCACCAAGGCUAUGACGCCUAACUGGUUUGAGAGGAUGAUCAGUCACACUGGAACUGAGACACGGUCCAGACUCCUACGGGAGGCAGCAGUGGGGAAUAUUGCACAAUGGACGAAAGUCUGAUGCAGCAACGCCGCGUGGAGGAUGACACAUUUCGGUGCGUAAACUCCUUUUAUAUAGGAAGAUAAUGACGGUACUAUAUGAAUAAGCACCGGCUAACUCCGUGCCAGCCGCCGCGGUAA